AUUCUAAGAAGAGGCGCGACUUUUAUUAGUAAUUAGCUGGAGAUUUACUAAAUCAACGAAGGCUUAUGAAAGGAAGGGUUGCCGAAACUAAUCACGUGGUGAAUGGUUAGUUGGGUCUUGGUUCAAUAAAUCAAGGACUGUCGUGCAAUCGCACGGAGAGCUUUCUAAGAU
rnacentral:ncRNA from 2 species